GAUGAACGCUGGCGGCGUGCCUAAUACAUGCAAGUCGAGCGAAUGGAUUAAGAGCUUGCUCUUAUGAAGUUAGCGGCGGACGGGUGAGUAACACGUGAGUAACCUGCCCAUAAGACUGGGAUAACUACGGGAAACCGGGGCUAAUACCGGAUAACAUUUUGAACCGCAUGGUUAGAAAGUGAAAGGCGGCUUCGGCUGUCACUCAUGGAUGGACACGCGACGCAUUAGCUAGUUGGUGAGGUAACGAAUCACCAUGGCAACGAGGAGUAGCCGACCUGAGAGGGUCAUCGGCCACACUGGGACUGAGACACGGCCCAGACCCCUACGGGAGGCAGCAGUAGGGAAUCUUCCGCAAUGGACGAAAGUCUGACGGAGCAACGCCGCGUGAGUGAUGAAGGCUUUCGGGUCGUAAAACUCUGUUGUUAGGGAAGAACAAGUGCUAGUUGAAUAAGCUGGCACCUUGACGGUACCUAACCAGAAAGCCACGGCUAACUACGUGCCAGCCGCCGCGGUAA
rnacentral:rRNA from 1 species